CCCAAUCCACUCCCAGUUCACUCCCAGUCCCUCCCAGUCCCUCCCAGUUCAUUCCCAGUGCUCCCAGUCCCUCCCAGUGCUCCCAGUUCAUCCCAGUUCACUCCCAGUUCAUUCCCAGUUCAUUCCCAGUCCCUCCCAGUUCGCUCCCCGUCCCUCCCAAUUCAUUCCCAGUCCCUCCCAGUGCUCCCAGUUCAUUCCCAGUUCAUUCCCAGUUCAUUCCCAGUUCACUCCCAGUCCCUCCCAGUUCAUUCCCAGUCCCAGUUCAUUCCCAGUCCCUCCCAGUGCUCCCAGUUCACUCCCAAUCCAUUCCCAGUUUGCUCCCAGUCCCUCCCAGCGCUCCCAGUGUCCCCAGACUGGGGGGCGUGGCCAUGGCAGCGCUGCCUCUGCCCCUCCCCCUCCUGCUGCUGGCCGGGGUGGCCGAGGGGACCCCGCGGGGGACAGAGGGGAGAGCGGGGACCCUGCUGGACCUGGGCCGCUGUCGCUUCGCGCUGGGAAUGGAGGACGGGACCAUCCCCGACUUUCGCCUCUCGGCCUCCAGCGCUUGGUCCGACUCCACCGCCGCCCGCCACGGCCGGUACGGACCAGUGUCCACCAGUAAAAACCAGUUUGGAAUGGUUCGGACCAGUACAAACCAGUACGAACCGGUUUGGACCAGUAUAGAGCAGCAUAGAUUGGUAUAAACCAGUAUAAACCAGUAUAAAUCAGUAUGAACCAGUAUGAACCAGUAUGAACUGGUUUGGACCGGUAUGAACCAGUUUGGACCAGUAUGAACCGGUUUGGACUGGUAUGAACCGGUUCGGACCAGUAUAGAACAGUAUAGACUGGUAUAAACCAGUAUAAACCAGUAUGAACCGGUUUGGACCAGUAUGAACCGGUUUGGACUGGUAUGAACUGGUUUGGACCGGUAUGAACCAGUUCGGACCAGUAUAGAACAGUAUAGACUGGUAUAAACCAGUAUGAACCAGUAUGAACUGGUUUGGACCAGUAUGAACCGGUUUGGACCAGUAUGGACCAGUAUGAACCGGUUCGGACCAGUAUGAACCGGUUCAGACCAGUAUAGAACAGUAUAGACUGGUAUAAACCAGUAUAAACCAGUAUGAACCGGU
rnacentral:lncRNA from 1 species